GCUGUUCUGGAUCUGUCAGUACUGCAGGUACAGCUGCUGGGCUCUGUGACACUGGGGCAAAGAACAACUGUCUAUUUCUAUACUAAGUUAUCAGAAGCCAGUAGACACUAAGAAUGGUAUAUAGCCUGACAUUU